rnacentral:rRNA from 1 species
CACGUAGGGCGCAAGCGUUGUCCGGAAUUAUUGGGCGUAAAGAGCUCGUAGGCGGUCUGUUACGUCUGCUGUGAAAACCCAGGGCUUAACCCUGGGCUUGCAGUGGAUACGGGCAGACUAGAGGCAGGUAGGGGAGAAUGGAAUUCCCGGUGUAGCGGUGAAAUGCGUAGAUAUCGGAAGGAACACCAGUGGCGAAAGCGGCUUCCUGGUCCAGCACCGACGUUCAGGCACGAAAGCGUGGGGAGCAAACAGG